rnacentral:rRNA from 1 species
AAGACCUUGUGCUUUUGGAGCGGCCGAUGUCUGAUUAGCUAGUUGGUAGGGUAAAGGCCUACCAAGGCUACGAUCAGUAGUUGGUCUGAGAGGACGACCAGCCACACUGGGACUGAGACACGGCCCAGACUCCUACGGGAGGCAGCAGUGGGGAAUUUUGGACAAUGGGCGCAAGCCUGAUCCAGCAAUGCCGCGUGAGUGAAGAAGGCCUUCGGGUUGUAAAGCUCUUUCAGUCGAGAAGAAAAAGCUGCAGUGAAUAACUGUAGUUCAUGACGGUAUCGACAGAAGAAGCACCGGCUAACUACGUGCCAGCAGCCGCGGUAAUACGUAGGGUGCGAGCGUUAAUCGGAAUUACUGGGCGUAAAGGGUGCGCAGGCGGCUUUGUAAGUCAGAUGUGAAAUCCCCGGGCUUAACCUGGGAAUU